rnacentral:rRNA from 1 species
AUUGAACGCUGGCGGCAGGCCUAACACAUGCAAGUCGAACGGUAGCACAGAGAGCUUGCUCUCGGGUGACGAGUGGCGGACGGGUGAGUAAUGUCUGGGAAACUGCCCGAUGGAGGGGGAUAACUACUGGAAACGGUAGCUAAUACCGCAUAACGUCGCAAGACCAAAGUGGGGGACCUUCGGGCCUCACACCAUCGGAUGUGCCCAGAUGGGAUUAGCUAGUAGGUGGGGUAAUGGCUCACCUAGGCGACGAUCCCUAGCUGGUCUGAGAGGAUGACCAGCCACACUGGAACCGAGACACGGUCCAGACUCCUACGGGAGGCAGCAGUGGGGAAUAUUGCACAAUGGGCGCAAGCCUGAUGCAGCCAUGCCGCGUGUAUGAAGAAGGCCUUCGGGUUGUAAAGUACUUUCAGCGGGGAGGAAGGCGGUGAAGUUAAUAACUUCACCGAUUGACGUUACCCGCAGAAGAAGCACCGGCUAACUCCGUGCCAGCCGCCGCGGUAA